UACAGAGGUUGCAAGCGUUAAUCGGAAUUACUGGGCGUAAAGCGCGCGUAGGUGGCAAGUUAAGUCGGAUGUGAAAGCCCUGGGCUCAACCUAGGAAUUGCAUUCGAUACUGGCUAGCUAGAGUUUGAGAGAGGGAAGUGGAAUUCCACAUGUAGCGGUGAAAUGCGUAGAUAUGUGGAGGAACAUCAGUGGCGAAGGCGGCUUCCUGGCUUAAAACUGACACUGUGGCGCGAAAGCGCGGGUAGCAAACAGG
rnacentral:rRNA from 1 species